rnacentral:rRNA from 7 species
ACGGGUGAGUAAUAUAUCGGAACGUGCCCAGUCGUGGGGGAUAACUACUCGAAAGAGUAGCUAAUACCGCAUACGACCUGAGGGUGAAAGCGGGGGAUCGCAAGACCUCGCGCGAUUGGAGCGGCCGAUAUCAGAUUAGGUAGUUGGUGGGGUAAAAGCCCACCAAGCCAACGAUCUGUAGCUGGUCUGAGAGGACGACCAGCCACACUGGGACUGAGACACGGCCCAGACUCCUACGGGAGGCAGCAGUGGGGAAUUUUGGACAAUGGGCGCAAGCCUGAUCCAGCCAUGCCGCGUGCGGGAAGAAGGCCUUCGGGUUGUAAACCGCUUUUGUCAGGGAAGAAAAGGUUCUGGUUAAUACCUGGGACUCAUGACGGUACCUGAAGAAUAAGCACCGGCUAACUACGUGCCAGCAGCCGCGGUAAUACGUAGGGUGCAAGCGUUAAUCGGAAUUACUGGGCGUAAAGCGUGCGCAGGCGGUUAUGCAAGACAGAGGUGAAAUCCCCGGGCUCAACCUGGGAACUGCCUUUGUGACUGCAUAGCUAGAGUACGGUAGAGGGGGAUGGAAUUCCGCGUGUAGCAGUGAAAUGC